GGGACCCAGGUCGGCCGUCCAAGCGAGCUCGCAGUCGGCUGGGGCAGGGGUGCGCAAGUGCCCCGGUCCUGGCAGUCAAAGUGCAGUGCACUGGCCCAGGCUGGCAACAGAGCAAGCCAAAGCUGCCGCAGCAAGCAGCGCAAGGAUCGCGGCUGG
rnacentral:SRP_RNA from 11 species